rnacentral:rRNA from 1 species
AGAGUUUGAUCCUGGCUCAGGACGAACGCUGGCGGCGUGCUUAACACAUGCAAGUCGAGCGGGGAUAUUGACUUCGGUUGAUAUUCUAGCGGCGGACGGGUGAGUAACGCGUGAACAAUCUGUCCCAGACAGGGGGAUAACACUUGGAAACAGGUGCUAAUACCGCAUAAGACCACGACCCGGCAUCGGGUUGAGGUAAAAGGAGUAAUCCGGUUUGGGGUGAGUUCGCGUCCGAUUAGCUAGUUGGUGAGGUAACGGCCCACCAAGGCGACGAUCGGUAGCCGACCUGAGAGGGUGAUCGGCCACAUUGGAACUGAGACACGGUCCAAACUCCUACGGGAGGCAGCAGUGGGGAAUAUUGGGCAAUGGGCGAAAGCCUGACCCAGCAACGCCGCGUGAGGGAAGAAGGUUCUCGGAUUGUAAACCUCUGUCCUUGGUGACGAAGGAAGUGACGGUAGCCAAGGAGGAAGCCCCGGCUAACUACGUGCCAGCAGCCGCGGUAAUACGUAGGGGGCAAGCGUUGUCCGGAAUGACUGGGCGUAAAGGGCGUGUAGGCGGCCGAUUAAGUCUGGAGUGAAAGUCCUGCUUUCAAGGUGGGAAUUGCUUUGGAGACUGGUUGGCUUGAGUGCGGAAGAGGUAAGUGGAAUUCCCAGUGUAGCGGUGAAAUGCGUAGAGAUUGGGAGGAACACCAGUGGCGAAGGCGACUUACUGGGCCGUAACUGACGCUGAGGCGCGAAAGCGUGGGGAGCGAACAGGAUUAGAUACACUGGUAGUCCACGCUGUACACGAUGAAUGCUAGGUGUAGGGGAUAUCGACCCCUCCUGAGCCGGAGUACACGCAAUAAGCAUUCCACGUGGGGAGUACGCCCGCAAGGUUGACACUCUAAGGAAUUGACGGGGGCCCGCACAAUCAGCGGAGCAUGUUCUUCAUUGGAUGCAACGCGAAGAACCUUACCAGGUAUAGACAUCGAUAUUAACUUGUCGAUAUAGCAGCUCCCUUCGGGGGAGAGAAGACAGGUGGUGCAUGGUUCUAGUCAGCUCGUGUCGUGAGAUGUUGGGAUAAGUCCCGCAAUGAGCGCAACCAUUAUGAUCAGUAACUUACGGGAAAGCCGAGGAAUCUGAUCAGAGUGCCGGGGACAACUCAGGAGGAAGGUGGGGAGGACGUCAAAUCAUCAUGCCCCUUAUGACUCUGGGUUACACACGUGCUACAAUGGUGAGUACAAAGAGGAGCGAGCCCACGAGGGUAAGCGGAUUUCACCCAAGUCAUCUCCCUUCGGAUUAGUGGGCUACAACCCGCCCACAUGAAGUUGGAUUUGCUAGUAAUCAAGUAUCCGAAUGUCUCGCAGAAUACGUUCACCGGGCCUUGUACACGCCGCCCGUCA